GCCAGGGUCCACGAUCUGCUUGUUCUGGGUUGCCCUGAGCGUUUGGGCAAUCAUAUACGGGGAUGCUCCCGUAAAGCUCAGCUCAUUGGCUAUCUAGCUAGCUUUGUUUGACAAAUAUACAAUCGAUCAAAUGAAGACCGGUCGCAUCAUCGGCAUGCCAUGAAGGCAUCGCUCUCUGACCAAAUUUGGUGUCCUAUAGGAUAUAUUACACCCCUAAUGAUAUAGUGAAGUCUGGUUACGUUCUAGGAUCUCUGAGGAAUACAUACGGAUGUGAUUUGACUGGUUGAAACAACCUUUAGGGAUAUAUUUUCACAGAUUCCUUUCUUUGCAAAUUGAACGAGUGGAAAUACAAAAUCGAUCGUGCAUGCUAUAUGGACCUUUUUAGGGUAUGAAAAAGGAUUUUAUCUAACAAAAUGACACGUCAUGUUAUCUCUGGGACCGUUUUGGAUGAUAAAUCAGAGCAAGAUUUCAGAAUAGGACGUGAGCCCUAGGACCAUGCCUCAGGACUACCUGGCCUGAUGACUCCUUGCUGUCCCCAGUCUAUCUGGUCAUGCUGCUGCUCCAGUUUCAACUGUUCUGCCUGCGGCUAUGGAACCCUGACCUGUUCACCAGAUGUGCUACCUGUCCCAGACCUGCUGUUUUCAACUCUCUAGAGACAGCAGGAGCAGUAGAGAUACUCUGAAUGAUUGGCUAUGAAAAGCCAACUGAAAUUUACUCCUGAGGUGCUGACCUGUUGCACCCUCUACAACCACUGUGAUUAUUAUUAUUAUUUGACCCUGCUGAUCAUCUAUGAACAUUUGAACAUUUUGGCCAUGUUCUGUUAUAAUCUCCACCCAGCACAGCCAGAAGAGGACUGGCCACCCCUCAUAGCCUGGUUCCUCUCUAGGUUUCUUCCUAGGUUCUGGCCUUUCUAGGGACUUUUUCCUAGCCACCAUGCUUCUACACCUGCAUUGCUUGCUGUUUGGGGUUUUGGGCUGGGUUUCUGUACAGCACUUUGUGACAUCAGCUGAUGUAAGAAGGGCUUUAUAAAUACAUUUGAUUGAUUGAUUGAUUGACUUUAUAUCCAACAACUGAUGGCCUUUCUUAAAAUAGGUCAACCCUGGCCACCAGAGGAAUAUUUUAAACAUGCAAAUUCAAGGAUUACUUUUGUUCAGUUGGUCUGUAACAAAAUGUUGUGUGCCAAUAUUGCAUUGAUGCAUCCUUGACCAGGCUACUUGCUAAUCCCAAGUGUUUGCCUAUCCGUUUCAUACACAUUAAUGUGCUUCCACAGUAAAGAAGAUGUAGGAGGAUUAUACAACAUUACACUGAGUGUACAAAACAUUAAGAACACCUUUCUUACAUCCAGUUGCACCCACCCCUUUUUGCCCUCAGAACAACCUCAAUUUGUUGGGGCAUGGACUCUAUAAGGUGUCAAGCGUUCCACCGGGAUGCUGUCCCAUGUUGACGCCAAAGUUUCCCACAGUUGUCAAGUUCGCUGGAUGUCCUUCGGGUGGUGGACCAUUCUUGAUACUCAUGGAAAACUGUUGAGCGUGAAAAACCCAGCAGCGUUGCAGUUCUUUACACAAACCAUUGCGCCUGGCACCUUCUACCAUACCCCGUUCAAAGGAACUUAAAUAUUUUGUCCUGCCCAUUCACCCUCUGAAUGGCAAACAUUCACAGUCCAUUUCUCAAUUGUCUCAAGGCUUAAAAAUCCAUCUUAAACCUGUUUACCGCCCCUUCGUCUACACUGAUUGAAGUGACAUCAACAAGGGAUCACAGCUUUCAUCUGGUCAGUCUAUGUCAUGGAAAGAGCAGGAGUUCAUAAUGUUUUGUACAUUCAGUUCAUUCAUGCUCGAUCCUCCUCUGCUCCUCAUCAUUCUCUUUUGAUAACCUCCUAUUCAACCCUCAUCAGUUUCACUUCUCUCCUUUCUCAAUUAAUAUAAAGGUGUUCUCUUCCACCUCUAUGCUACACUGGUCUUUCGGUCAGAACUGGAGCUGCAACCACCGCUGCCACUCUAGGUAUAAUUCCACCCUCACUCUACAGCAACUAGGUCGCUGGUCAUGCUCUGUCUACACUUCACAUUGUAGACCCAAUCUAUUUGCCAUAAUCUCUACCAUAGGUAACAUAUAUACUUCAUUUAGUGAGGUUCUAACUACACUCAUGCAUAUAGCUGUGGCGGUCAUUCAUUAUUACACCCGGCAUUUGGUCAGACACUCUUUGGCAUGUUUCCCUAUCGCUUUGUAUUACCGAAUGCCUGACUGGUUCGAAGCAAAGAAACAUCUCAUAUCUUACAAAUCACAUUACAGCAUGCAUGGUUGUGUUCUACGCUCAAUUAGCGUUUCAUGUCAAUCAUACAUAUCACAUUAUGGCAUGCGUCGCUGGGUAGAUGUACACGCAGACGUCUCAUUCCACCGAAAUACAUUAAACUAUUUUUAAUUCUGCGCUCAGCGUGCCUUGCAUUAAUAAACAUUCCAUAUCAUAGCCUAAUUUCCAUUACAGCAUAAUUGCACUUUUGUUCUAUUCUUUUCCUUAAUCUCUUACAUCUAAUUAUGAUUAUCAUCGAUCUUUAGAUCCAACCAUUGUGUCCCUGGUGAGUAACUUAUUUAUUUUGGGGGGUUUGAUGCCAACUGCCCAGCAUAGAGCAAUCUGUCAUCAGCAACUGGAUCCGAGGAGCAUUCCUCAGAGACAAGGCAUCCCCAAAAACGAUUCAAUAAAAUUCCAUGUUGCAUUCUGUCUCUGUUGUCAUUCAGUUAGGUCUGUACCCGAUUGAAAUGUAGUCUACGAAAGUUCAAUCAGUAAGGCUCGUCUGAAUGGCUUGUCACUUUCACAUUUAUUUAGUAAGCACAAUAUAAUUCACAUCGCUUCCUAUCACACAGGCAUAGCAGGUAUUCAUAUGUAGCAUUUAUAAUGUUACCUCAUUAGCAUAGCAGGUAUUUAUAUGGUAGUGUUUAUAAUGUCACCUUGUCAGCAUAGCAGGUAUUUAUAUGGUAGUGUUAUUAAUGUCACCUCGUCAGCAUAGCGUCACGUCUCUCCUCCUUCACUAUUAGCAAGCCCGCGGAAUAUCAUUCACCUAUUAACUUCAGCCUAUGAGCAUGGCAAACUAAGGCAAUUCCACCACGCUUCCUGAAUAACCUAUGGGCUUACUCAUGCUAUAAUCAAUUUCCGUUCUUUCAACCAAUGAGCAUAAACCUAGGGGAGUAUUUAAUGUCAUCUCUCACUUGCUAUUUUGCAGCAACGGUCUUCCAACGACCAUGCACCUCCCCCCACUACCUCCCCCCACCGACUACCCCAAACUAUUCAAUAAAAUUCCAUGUUGCA